GCACAACAAGGCACAGACUCCCCAUUCUGUACGCCUGAGCUGCCACAACAGGACAGUUAUUUAUAUAAAAAGUAAAUCCAUUACCAGUCGUCUAUUUUCCAGGUUUUUUGCUCCCAUUUGUGUCCCCCAUUCUUAUCUUUUCUGUCUCUCUAUGCCUCGCCAACUUUACACAGUUGGGUUGCACCGUCACUAAAUUGUAGUUAAUUUAGUUAGUGUACUAUGAGAUGCUGUUGGUCAGUGAUGUUUGCCUCAAAAUGUUGUCUUUUUUUUACUCGAAGGGGAGCUUCCUGGUUGAAGAUGCUACUGUGGUGCAGCGACCCCAACUUUCCUACCUCCCAAGUGAUGAUGAUGUCGCCUUGUAGCAAGUGGCAUUGUGGGACAGAGACAGCACAUGCAUUGUAUCUAUGUCCUGUCAAAGUAGUUGAGAUGAACUUUAGUCUCAGUAUUGUAGGUCUGGGACAUGAGAUAUAUGAGGUAAUAAAGUUUUACAGGUAGGGAGGGAAUACA